rnacentral:rRNA from 1 species
GACGAACGCUGGCGGCGUGCCUAAUACAUGCAAGUAGAACGCUGAAGGAGGAGCUUGCUUCUCUGGAUGAGUUGCGAACGGGUGAGUAACGCGUAGGUAACCUGCCUGGUAGCGGGGGAUAACUAUUGGAAACGAUAGCUAAUACCGCAUAAGAGUAGAUGUCGCAUGACAUUUGCUUAAAAGGUGCAAUUGCAUCACUACCAGAUGGACCUGCGUUGUAUUAGCUAGUUGGUGAGGUAACGGCUCACCAAGGCAACGAUACAUAGCCGACCUGAGAGGGUGAGAGGCCACACUGGGACUGAGACACGGCCCAGACUCCUGCGGGAGGCAGCAGUAGGGAAUCUUCGGCAAUGGACGGAAGUCUGACCGAGCAACGCCGCGUGAGUGAAGAAGGUUUUCGGAUCGUAAAGCUCUGUUGUAAGAGAAGAACGAGUGUGAGAGUGGAAAGUUCACACUGUGACGGUAUCUUACCAGAAAGGGACGGCUAACUACGUG